UUUAUGGAGAGUUUGAUCCUGGCUCAGGAUGAACGCUGGCGGCGUGCCUAAUACAUGCAAGUCGAGCGAACGGACGAGAAGCUUGCUUCUCUGAUGUUAGCGGCGGACGGGUGAGUAACACGUGGAUAACCUACCUAUAAGACUGGGAUAACUUCGGGAAACCGGAGCUAAUACCGGAUAAUAUUUUGAACCGCAUGGUUCAAAAGUGAAAGACGGUCUUGCUGUCACUUAUAGAUGGAUCCGCGCUGCAUUAGCUAGUUGGUAAGGUAACGGCUUACCAAGGCAACGAUGCAUAGCCGACCUGAGAGGGUGAUCGGCCACACUGGAACUGAGACACGGUCCAGACUCCUACGGGAGGCAGCAGUAGGGAAUCUUCCGCAAUGGGCGAAAGCCUGACGGAGCAACGCCGCGUGAGUGAUGAAGGUCUUCGGAUCGUAAAACUCUGUUAUUAGGGAAGAACAUAUGUGUAAGUAACUGUGCACAUCUUGACGGUACCUAAUCAGAAAGCCACGGCUAACUACGUGCCAGCAGCCGCGGUAAUACGUAGGUGGCAAGCGUUAUCCGGAAUUAUUGGGCGUAAAGCGCGCGUAGGCGGUUUUUUAAGUCUGAUGUGAAAGCCCACGGCUCAACCGUGGAGGGUCAUUGGAAACUGGAAAACUUGAGUGCAGAAGAGGAAAGUGGAAUUCCAUGUGUAGCGGUGAAAUGCGCAGAGAUAUGGAGGAACACCAGUGGCGAAGGCGACUUUCUGGUCUGUAACUGACGCUGAUGUGCGAAAGCGUGGGGAUCAAACAGGAUUAGAUACCCUGGUAGUCCACGCCGUAAACGAUGAGUG
rnacentral:rRNA from 1 species